rnacentral:rRNA from 1 species
GUUAAAAAGCUCGUAGUUGGAUCUCGGCAGGUAGGGGGCGGUUCGUUUCUGACGGCACUGCCCCAUUUACUUGUGUUUUUGACGGAGGUCUCAGGGUGCUCUUUACCGAGUGUCCUGAUACGCCGUCAGGUUUACUUUGAAAAAAUUAGAGUGCUCAAAGCAGGCUACAAGCUUGAAUAUUUGUGCAUGGAAUAAUGGAAUAGGAAGUCGUUUCUAUUUUUUUUGGUUUUCGGAAAUUGACUUAAUGAUUAAUAGGGACAGCCGGGGGCAUUAGUAUUCAGACGACAGAGGUGAAAUUCUUGGACCGUUUGAAGACUAACUACUGCGAAAGCAUUUGCCAAGAGUGUUUUCAUUAAUCAAGAACGAAAGUUAGAGGUUCGAAGGCGAUCAGAUACCGCCCUAGUUCUAACCAUAAACGAUGCUGACUAGCGAUCCGUAGCUGUUUUCUAUGUAGGCUCUACGGGAAGCUUCCGG